rnacentral:rRNA from 1 species
UACAGAGGUCCCGAGCGUUGUUCGGAUUCACUGGGCGUAAAGGGUGCGUAGGUGGUGAGGUAAGUCGGAUGUGAAAUCUCCGGGCUCAACCCGGAAAUGGCAUUGGAAACUACCUUGCUAGAGGAUUUGAGGGGGGAUUGGAAUACUUGGUGUAGCAGUGAAAUGCGUAGAUAUCAAGUGGAACACCGGUGGCGAAGGCGGCGACCUGGGUCGGCACUGACGCUGAGGAGCGAAAGCGUGGGUAGCAAACAGG